UGGGGAAUAUUGCACAAUGGGGGAAACCCUGAUGCAGCAACGCCGCGUGAGUGAAGAAGUAUUUCGGUAUGUAAAGCUCUAUCAGCAGGGAAGAUAAUGACGGUACCUGACUAAGAAGCUCCGGCCAAAUACGUGCCAGCAGCCGCGGUAAUACGUAUGGAGCAAGCGUUAUCCGGAUUUACUGGGUGUAAAGGGUGCGUAGGUGGCAGUGCAAGUCAGAUGUGAAAGGCCGGGGCUCAACCCCGGAGCUGCAUUUGAAACUGCAUAGCUAGAGUACAGGAGAGGCAGGCGGAAUUCCUAGUGUAGCGGUGAAAUGCAUAGAUAUCACGCAGAACCCCGAUUGCGAAGGCAGCCUGCUAGGGUGAAACAGACGCUGAGGCACGAAAGCGUGGGUAUCGAACA
rnacentral:rRNA from 1 species